rnacentral:rRNA from 1 species
GACGAACGCUGGCGGCGUGCUUAACACAUGCAAGUCGAACGGAAAGGCCCUGCUUUUGUGGGGUGCUCGAGUGGCGAACGGGUGAGUAACACGUGAGUAACCCGCCCUUGACUUUGGGAUAACUUCAGGAAACUGGGGCUAAUACCGGAUAGGAGCUCCUGCUGCAUGGUGGGGGUUGGAAAGUUUCGGCGGUUGGGGAUGGACUCGAGGCUUAUCAGCUUGUUGGGGGGGUAGUGGCGUACCAAGGCUUUGACGGGUAGCCCGCCUGAGAGCGUGACCGGCCACAUUGCGACUGCGGUACGGCCCAGUCUCCUACGGGCGGCAGAGGUCGGAAAUAUUGCACAAUGGGCGGAAGCCUGAUGCGACAACGCCGCGUGCGUAAUGACGGCCUUCGGGUUGUAAACCGCUUUCGCCUGUGACGAAGCGUUAGUGACGGUAAUGAGUAAAGAAGCACCGGCUAACUACGUG